rfam:Glossina palpalis gambiensis isolate 146720 unplaced genomic scaffold Scaffold2, whole genome shotgun sequence.
CCUUCGAUAGCUCAGUUGGUAGAGCGGUGGACUGUAGAAGUUGCAUGGCAGUAAGCUGAUAGUUAUCCAUAGGUCGCUGGUUCAAAUCCGGCUCGAAGGA